GCUUGAAGAGAUUUCAGGAGCGGUGACUCUCAUCUGCUCGAAGAUGAGCCCACUGUGGACCUUCCUCUUCGUGCUGUCAGCUCCCAGUGGGGUCCUGUCCCAGGUGCAGCUGCAGGAGUCGGGACCCAGCCUGGUGAAGCCCUCACAGACCCUCUCCCUCACCUGCACUGUCUCUGGAUUUUCAUUAACCGGCUACGGUAUACACUGGGUCCGCCAGGCUCCAGGGAAGGCGCUGGAGUGGGUUGGUGGAAUAUGUAGUGGUGGAAGUACAUACUAUAACCCAGCCCUGAAAUCCCGGCUCAGCAUCACCAGGGACACCUCCAAGAGCCAAGUCUCUCUGUCACUGAGCAGCGUGACACCUGAGGACACAGCCGUGUAUUACUGUGGAAGAGACACAGUGAAGGGAAGUCAGAGUGACCUGUCCCAGUGCAGCUGCAGGAGUCGGGCCCAGAACUGCUGA